CAGAGAUGGGAUUUCAUAUUUUAUUACUGACUGAAAAGCAUUUUUUAAAGUAGAAAACGUUGCCAAGAAUCGAAUGGUUAUGCUAGUUAAAAAGAACUCAACGAACAAACGACAAUAAACUCUGCAGUACUACAUGUGUUCAGUCGCCGGUUUGCUGCCCUCUGUUUGUAUUUUCUUUCUUUUUGUUCAAUUGCAGUAGAUCAGGGUAUUUUUUUUAUUUUUUUUGCUUAAUCGACGAAUUCAUAUAUAUAUUAUAUUUAUAUAUUUUCACAUUUUUACAGGUUCCUGGAAAAAAACCUUUUUGGACCUACAUUGUUUGAAUAGCUUAGAAAUGAACGCAGUAACGAGACUGAGGAUCUUUAACGAUGUAGGAACAGAUGAGGGUACCUGGCGUCCAACAGGAUAGGGUCCAGAGGAGGGUACAUGGACCUGACCACGUCGUCUACCCUGUGAGACAGGACAGUGAAGACAGACUUCUCUCUGAUUUACUGACUUGGAGUCAAAGUGGUGCAGCAGAUCACGAGGACGGCAGUAGCGGUGUCUGCAGACCACCACCAGAGCGAUGAAGGAGGCCAGGAAGAUGGUAGCCAACACCC